UUUUGAUCAACUUGGUUAGGCUAUAGUACCUACUUUAUGGUCAAACAACCACCUAGAUGUUCUGUGAAGAUCUUUUUUAGAUGUGCUUAACAUUUAUACAUCCAUCUGUCUAUUUUAAUGGGUUUAAAUGUAUGGGGUAUAAGUGUAAUUUUGUUACAUGCAUAGAUUCUGCAAUGGCAAAAUCAGAACUUUUAGAGUAUACAUCACCCAAAAAACAUACACACAUUAAACCUUUCAUGCGCGUCCGUGUGAAGAGACCACCAAACAGGCUUUGUGUGAGCAACAUGGCUGUUUAUUUCACCUGGGCGCAGGCGGGCUGAGUCCAAAAAGAGAGUCAGUGAAGGGAGAUAAGGAUGGGGCCGUUUUAUAGGAUUUGGGUAGGUAAAGGAAAAUUACAGUCAAAGGGGGUUUGUUCUCUGGCGGGCAGGAGUGGGGGGUUGCAAGGUGCUCAGUGGGGGUGCUUUUUGAGCCAGGAUGAGCCAGGAAAAGGACUUUCACAAGGUAAUAUCAUCACUUAAGGCAAGGACCAGCCAUUUACACUUCUUUUGUGGUGGAAUGUCAUCAGUUAAGGUGGGGCAGGGCAUUUUCACUUCUUUUGUGAUUCUUCAGUUACUUCAGGCCAUCUGGGCAUAUACGUGCAAGUCACAGGGGAUGCGAUGGCUUGGCUUGGGCUCAGAGGCCUGACAUUCCUGCCUUCUUAUAUUAAUAAGAAAAAUAAAACAAAAUAGUGUUGAAGUGUUGGGACAGCGAAAAUUUUUGGGGGGUGGUAUCUAGAGAGAAUGGGCGAUGUUUCUCAGGGCUGCUUCAAGUGGGAUUAGGGUCGGCGUGGGAACCUAGAGUGGGAGAGAUUAAGCUGAAGGGAGGUCUUGUGGUAAGGGGUGAUAUUGUGGGGAUGUUAGAAGAAACAUUUGUCAUAUAGAAUGAUUGGUGAUGGCCUAGAUACGGUUUUGGAUGAAUUGAGAAACUAAAUGGAAUAACAGAAGGAGAAAAACAGGUAUAAAAGGUCUAAGAAUUGGGACGACUCAGGAUAUCUGAUUAGAGAGUGCCUAAGGAGAUUCAGCAUAGUCCUGCCAGCAAAGAUUAUUUAUUUACUUCAAGAGUUAAUAGUGACAGUUUGGGGAUAGCACCAGGAGAUAUCAGCUGUGAUGGCUUGGAAAAACAGUGUAAACCGGCAGUGUAAACAAGAGCAAGGCAUGUAUGAGUAGUUGAGAACGGUGAAUAGGAGGAUGACUAGACAGAAAAUAGUAGGGAUGACAAGUUUUUUUUUUUUUUUUUUGGUGGGGCACAGUCUAAGUUGGUCUGGUGUCUGGAAUGAGACUGGGGCCUAAUAAAAAGGAGCAUCUAUACAGGAGCUUAAAUGGGCUGUACCCUGUAGCAUUCCGAGGACAGGCCUGAAUUCUGAGAAGGGAAAGUGGUAAAAGUAUUGUCCAGUCCUUUUUAAGUUGGUGGCUGAGCUUGGUGAGGAGUGUUUUUAAAAGACCUUUAGUCCAUUCUACUUUUCUUGAAGAUGGAGGACCAUAAGGGAUAUAAAGGUUUCACUGAAUACUCAGAGCCUGAAAAACUGCUUGGCUGAUUUGACUAAUAAAGGCUGAUCUGUUAUCAGACUGUAUUGAGGUGGGAAGGCUAAACUGAGGAAUUAUGUCUGACAGAAUGGAAGAAAUGACUGUGGUGGCCUUCUCAAACCCUGUAGGAAAGGCCUCUACCUAUCCAGUGAAAGUAUCUACCUAGACUAAGAGGUAUUUUAGUUAUCGGUCUCAGGGCAUGUUGAGUAAAGCUAAUUUGCCAGUCCUGGGUGGGGCAAAUCCUGGAGCUUGAUGUGUAGGGAAGGGAGGGGGCCUGAAUAAUCCCUGAGGAGUAGUAGAAUAGCAGAUGGAACACUGAGAAGUUAUUUCCUUGAGGAUAGAUUUCAACGAUGGAAAGGAAAUGAGAGGUUCUAAGAGGCGGGCUAGUGGCUUGUACUAUAGCAUAACCUGCCUUUGCUGGUGUGUGGUGAUUAGGCCUGGUGGAACCCCCAUCAAUAAAUAAGCGUGAUCAGGGUGAGCAACAGGAAAGAAGGAAAUUUGGGGAAAUGGGGUGAAUGUCAGGUGGAUCAGAGAGAUACAGUCAUGGGGUUCAGGUGUGGUAUCAGGAAUAAUGUGGGAGGCCGGAUUGAAGUCUGAGCCAGGAACAAUGGUAAUUGUGGGAGACUCAACAAAGAGUGAGUACAGCUGAAGGAGCCGGGAAGCAGAAAGUAUAUGCGUCAGGUAUGAGGAAGAAAAUAGAUUUUGGAAGUUAUGAGAACUGUAGAGAGUGAGUUGAGCAUAGUUUGUGAUUUUGAGGGCCUCUAAAAGUAUUAAUGCAGUGGCAGCCACUGCACGCAGACAUGAGGGCUAGGCUAAAACAGUAAGGUCAAGUUGUUUGGACAGAAAGGCUACAGGGUGUGGUCCUGGCUCUUGUGUAAGAAUUCUGACUGCGCUAACCAUGCCUAGGAAGGAAAGGAGUUGUUGUUUUGUAGAAGGUGCUGGGGUUUGAGAGAUCAGUGGGACACGAUUGGCAGCACGUGUGUGGCAGCACGUGUGUUUUUAUGAGAAUUAUGCUGAGAUAGGUAACAGAUGAGGAAGAAAUUUGGGCUUGAAUGAAGUAAUGGGGGCUGUCUGUGAAGCUUUGCGGCAGUACAGCCUAGGUAAUUUGCUGAGCGUGAUGGGUGUCAGGGUCAGUCCAAGUGAAAGCAAAGAGAGGAUGGGACGAGGGGUGCAGGGGAAUAGUGAAAAAAGCAUCUUUAAGAUCAAGCAGGGAAUAGUGAGUUGUGGAGGAAGGUAUUGAGGACAAAAGAGUGUAUGGGUUGGGCACCACAGGGUGGAUAGGCAAAACAAUUUGGUUGAUAAGGCGCAGAUCCUGAACUAAGUUGUAAGGCUUGUCUGGUUUUAGGACAGGUAAAAUGGGGAAAUUGUAAGGAGAGUUUAUAGGCUUUAAAAGGCCAUGCUGUAGCAGGCGAGUGAUAACAGGCUUUAAUCUUUUUAAAGCGUGCUGUGGGAUGGGAUAUUGGCAUUGAGUGGGGUAAGUGUGAUUAGGUUUUAAUGAGAUGGUAAGAGGUGCAUGAUCGGUAGCCAAGGAGGGAGUAGAGGUAUAUUAUACUUGUGGGUUAAGGUCGGGGGAUACAAGAGGAGGAUGCAAAGGAGGCUUUGGAUUGGGAAGAAGGGCGGCAAUGAGAUAUAGCUGUAGCCCAGGAAUAGUCAGGGCAGCAGAUAAUUUAGUUAAAGUGUCUCGGCCUAAUAAGGGAACUGGGCAGGUGGGGAUAACUAAAAAGGAGUGCUUCAAAGAGUAUUGUCUAAGUUGGCACCAGAGUUGGGGAGUUUUAAGAGGUUUAGAAGCCUGGCCGUCAAUACCCACAACAGUUAUGGAGGCAAGGGAAACAGCCCUUGAAAAGAAGGUAAUGUGGAGUGGGUAGCCUCUGUAUUGAUGAAGAAGGGGACGGGCUUACUUUCCACUGUGAGAGUUACCCGAAGCUCAGCAUCCGUGGUGGUCUAGGGGGCUUCCGAGGCGAUCCGGCAGUGUCAGUCUUCAGCCGCUAAGCCAAGAAGAUCUGCGAAGGAGUCAGUCAGAGAGGCUUGGGCCAGAGUUCCAGGGGCUCUGCGAGUGGCUGCCAGGUCACCAAAAGACAAGGCCCUCCACAGGAUUGAGUGACAACAUCAUAAGCUUCAAAGGAAAUGCAAACAUUUGUUUGAAAAACCGGUAAAAUCCUAAGAAAAAUCCACCUCUGAAGAAUCCACCUCUGAAAUAAACCUGG
rnacentral:lncRNA from 1 species